CUUUCGGCAAUCUUACUUCCGCUAUUGUGUCAGUUAAAUUACUUCAAUACAGAAGGUCUGACGUGACGUGUCAUUCACUCCUGACCCAAAGUGACUUCAUUAACUUUGCUUAUGGUACAAGUUAGCAAACCACUAACAGGUAUGUGUAAAAGAUCACUGAGGAGGAAGAUGUUGAUUUUUUAUAACUUCAGAAGUCCCGUCAACUGAAAUUGUUUCCAAGACCCAUCUUCGAUUUAUCCUAAUUAAAGCAAGCACACUAGUAAGUAACCAAUAACUGAGUCCCCAACGACAUAAGAAAUAAUACCUGCAUUCAGAACCACAUUUGGCUGAUCUGCAUUUUGGGCAAGGAAAGAAACACCCAGGACAGUUCUCAUUUAAACAGUCACAUCUACACACAGAAACAACAAUAUUCAACUCAAGCAACUUAUCGCAAAGAAGUUUAAAAUUUGUUACAUACUGGUCAGCUCCAUCAAACAGCAGCAACCCCUUUUCAUUGUAGAGACAACGAGCCUUUCUGCCCCCCCAAAAAAGAGUUGAAUUCCACAUGAGUUUAUCCAAGUAGUUUAUAAAAAUACUAACUUGUCUUUCUUGUUGCCGUGCUUGCGACCACUAUUGGCGGUACUUUCGCCACCGCUUCCUGGUUGCGUUCGCAUCUUCUUUCUCUUUUCUCUAUUCGAAUUGACGGGAUCAAAUUUAUCCAUAAAUUUAUCAGUUUCCGACAUGGCCAUUGAGAUUGCCAUUUCCCCAAAUAAUUAGAACGAAUCGGCUGGAAGAAAACGACAAAAAUUAAACGUGCUUUCAUGCAACAACUACAAC